AUGGAGGGGAGCGGCGGCGACCACUUCAUCCUCGUCCACGGCCUCGGCCACGGCGCGUGGUGCUGGUACAAGCUGGUGCCGAUGCUGCGCGCCGCGGGGCACCGCGUCACCGCGCUGGACAUGGCGGCGUCGGGCGUGCACCCGGCGCGCAUGGACGAGGUGCCGUCCUUCGAGGACUACUCGCGGCCGCUGCUCGACGCCGUGGCCGCGGCGCCGGCCGGCGAGAGGCUGGUCCUGGUCGGGCACAGCCUCGGCGGGCUCAACAUCGCGCUCGCCAUGGAGAGGCUCCCGCGCAAGGUCGCCGCGGCCGUGUUCCUCGACGCGUGCAUGCCGUGCGUCGGCCGGCACAUGGGCGUCACCAUGGAGGAGGUAAGCAAACCUCAAGUUUUUUCAUGGACAGCAAUCGAUACCUGGCUAAUCUCUGGUGACUCCUCUUCCCAGUUCUCCAGAAGAACCACGCCGGAUUUUUUCAUGGACAGCGAGAGGAUGGUUCUGGAGACGAGCGAGGGCCCUCGAGCUGCACUCGUGUUUGGCCCCAAAUUGUUGGCAGCAAAACUGUACGGUCGAAGCCCAGUUGAGGACCUGACGCUGGCCACGAUGCUGGUGAGGCCCGGCCGCCAGUUCGGGGACGACGCGAUGGUGAAGGACGAGACGCUGCUCACCGACGCCAACUACGGGUCGGUGAAGAAGGUGUACGUGGUGGCCAUGGAGGACGUUGCUUUCUCCGAGGACAUGCAGCGCUGGAUGGUCGACCUGAGCCCCGGCACGGAGGCCGUGGAGAUCGCCGGAGCCGACCACAUGGCCAUGUUCUCCAAGCCCAGGGAGCUCUGCGAUGUUCUGCUCGGGAUCGCCAGCAAGCAUGACUGA
rnacentral:rRNA from 1 species